rnacentral:rRNA from 1 species
GUGACUAAUACCGCAUAAUAUUCUUGGAAGGCAUCUUCCGAGAAGGAAAGGAAAUAUUCGGUAAAAGAUGGGCCCGCAUCUGAUUAGCUAGUUGGUGAGAUAACAGCCCACCAAGGCGACGAUCAGUAGCCGACCUGAGAGGGUGACCGGCCACAUUGGGACUGAGACACGGCCCAAACUCCUACGGGAGGCAGCAGUGGGGAAUAUUGCACAAUGGGGGGAACCCUGAUGCAGCAACGCCGCGUGAAGGAAGACGGUUUUCGGAUUGUAAACUUCUAUCAAUAGGGAAGAAAGAAAUGACGGUACCUAAAUAAGAAGCCCCGGCUAACUACGUGCCAGCAGCCGCGGUAAUACGUAGGGGGCAAGCGUUAUCCGGAAUUACUGGGUGUAAAGGGAGAGUAGGCGGCAAGGUAAGCGAUAUGUGAAAGCCUUAGGCUUAACCUGAGGAUUGCAUAACGAACUAUCUAGCUAGAGUACAGGAGAGGAAAGCGGAAUUCCUAGUGUAGCGGUGAAAUGCGUAGAUAUUAGGAAGAACACCCGUGGCGAAGGCGGCUUUCUGGACUGAAACUGACGCUGAGGCUCGAAAGCGUGGGGAGCGAACAGGAUUAGAUACCCUGGUAGUCCACGCUGUAAACGA